rnacentral:rRNA from 1 species
AAUAGAUACCCGGGUAGUCCAUGCCGUAAACGUUGGGCACUAGGUGUGGGGCUCAUUCCACGAGUUCCGUGCCGCAGCAAACGCAUUAAGUGCCCCGCCUGGGGAGUACGGCCGCAAGGCUAAAACUCAAAGGGAAUUGACGGGGGCCCGCACAAGCGGCGGAGCAUGCGGAUUAAUUCGAUGCAACGCGAAGAACCUUACCAAGGCUUGACAUGCACGAGAAGCCACCAGAGAUGGUGGUCUCUUUGGACACUCGUGCACAGGUGGUGCAUGGUUGUCGUCAGCUCGUGUCGUGAGAUGUUGGGUUAAGUCCCGCAACGAGCGCAACCCUCGUCCCAUGUUGCCAGCGGGUUAUGCCGGGGACUCAUGGGAGACUGCCGGGGUCAACUCGGAGGAAGGUGAGGAUGACGUCAAAUCAUCAUGCCCCUUAUGUCUUGGGCUUCACGCAUGCUACAAUGGCCGGUACAAAGGGCUGCGGUACCGUAAGGUGGAGCGAAUCCCAAAAAGCCGGUCUCAGUUCGGAUUGGGGUCG